rnacentral:sRNA from 1 species
AGAAGGUAGAAGAAGAGGGGGAGGAGAAAGAGAAAGAAGAGUAAGAGGAGGGGGAAGAAAGACAAGGGGAAGAGGGGGAGGAGGAGGACGGGGAGGAGCUUCGCCGCGGCCUGCUCCGCCCAGCCGGGGUCGGUGGCCGCAUGGCUUCGGUCUCCUCUGCGACCUUCUCGGGCCACGGGGCUCGGUCCCUACUGCAGUUCCUGCGGCUGGUAGGGCAGCUCAAGAGAGUCCCACGGACUGGCUGGGUAUACAGAAAUGUCCAGAGGCCGGAGAGCGUUUCGGAUCACAUGUACCGGAUGGCAGUUAUGGCUAUGGUGAUCAAAGAUGACCGUCUUAAUAAAGACCGGUAAGCUGAGCUGGACUUUGAUGCUCGUGAGAGAUUCUGGUCUAUGGGUGUGCACCUGUCUUUACCACUGAGACCCGUGUCAAAUCCUUGUAGGUUAGUUUAUCGGUCAAGAAAAAUUAUUUGAAGCAAACCAUACAAAUUUAGGAUGUGGGUUAUGUUGCCUCAGUUGUUGUAAACUGCAGUCUGGGGUCUCUGUUGGCAAGUGAUAGAGCCUGCCUAGGGUAUCAGAGGAAACUUAAGUGUGAUAUUGGGGCCUUGAAG